CGAUAACGAACGAGACCUUACUCUGCUAAAUAGCCAGGCUAACUUUGGUUGGUCGCCGGCUUCUUAGAGAGACUAUCAACUCAAGUUGAUGGAAGUUUGAGGCAAUAACAGGUCUGUGAUGCCCUUAGAUGUUCUGGGCCGCACGCGCGCUACACUGACAGAGCCAACGAGUUCUUUUCCUUGUUCGAAAGAAUUGGGUAAUCUUGUUAAACUCUGUCGUGCUGGGGAUAAAGCAUUGCAAUUAUUGCUUUUCAACGAGGAAUGCCUAGUAAGCGCGUGUCAUCAGCAUGCGUUGAUUACGUCCCUGACCUUUGUACACACCGCCCGUCGCUACUACCGAUGAAUGGCU
rnacentral:rRNA from 1 species